rnacentral:rRNA from 1 species
GGCUAAAACAGUCAGGAUGUUGGCUUAGAAGCAGCCAUCAUUUAAAGAAAGCGUAAUAGCUCACUGAUCGAGUCGUCCUGCGCGGAAGAUGUAACGGGGCUAAGCCAGUCACCGAAGCUGCGGAUAUCCGUAAGGAUAUGGUAGGAGAGCGUUCUGUAAGCCUGUGAAGGUGGCUUGUAAAGGCUGCUGGAGGUAUCAGAAGUGCGAAUGCUGACAUGAGUAGCGAUAAUGGGGGUGAAAAGCCCCCACGCCGUAAGCCCAAGGUUUCCUGUUCAACGUUCAUCGGAGCAGG